CACAACACCACCUCACCCCACUCAGGCUGAGCCUCUGGCGUCAUGGAGGGGCUCGUCCAGCCCUGUGUGCCCUCCCGCUGGCUGCCGCGUCUGCUGUCUGCGCCACGAUGCCAGCUCGGAACCUGAGCUGCUACCAGUGCUUCAAGGUGAGCAGCUGGAGGCAGUGCCCGCCCACCGCGUGCAGCCCGCUGGACCAAGUCUGCAUCUCCAACGAGGUGGUCGUCUCUUUUGGUGUCUCUAGGAACUGUCAGCAGGACAAAGGCUCUGAUGUCACUGAAUUUACGAAGACAGCAGGAACACACAGGGGUGGGGAGAGGCAGCUGUUCGGGUGGAUGGGUUAUCCGCCCUUCCUGGCAGAGCACAGUAGGCCUGCCCUACAGCCCAGCAUGGGGCAGGCUGCACUGGAAUCUAAUACAGUGUAUGACAGUGUCAUAGAGUAUAACACAAUGUAAUGAAUAUAACGUGUAUACUGCAACUUAAUAUAUCGAUACAAUACAACAUAAUAUAAUAAAAUAGAAUGCAACACAACACGCCAUAACACACUAUGACACAUAAAGGAGAUUCCACCCAAGCUCUUUUCUCCACCAUUUGGAUUUUGAGUGUUGUACAUCCCUUCAGGGGUUCCGUGGUUGUUGACAGACACGUGUCCAUCAGAAAGUCUCUGCCAUGUCUUUAAGUGAGCAGCAGAGCAAGGAGCCCAGGGCUGGGCACCCAGCCCAGCAGGUUUUCUGU
rnacentral:lncRNA from 1 species